CCAAACUUGGUCAUUUAGAGGAAGUAAAAGUCGUAACAAGGUUUCCGUAGGUGAACCUGCGGAAGGAUCAUUAAUGAAAUGCAAGGGUGCUCUUCUUAGACGCCCGACCCAUUCUCAUCUCACACUGUGCAUCAACUGCUUUCACACCAUUAUUUUGACACUACCAGUCUAAAGAAUGUAUAAACAGUUCUCCUUUAACCGGGAGCACAAAAUCAAACACAACUUUCGGCAACGGAUCUCUUGGCUCCCGCAUCGAUGAAGAACGCAGC
rnacentral:misc_RNA from 1 species